AAAGGCUAAGAUCAAUUUAAUUGUAGUUAAAAAAAUCAUAGAAUUUUUACUUAUAAAGUGAAACUUUUUGAUCAAUUUAUGAAAUACAAAGGAGGAAAAAUAUGACUCAAAUUCUCAAGUUUGUUGUUUAUGCUUUGAUAAUAUUUCUUUCAUUAUUUCUUGUUGUAGCCAAUGGUGGUAAGUCAUUUUCUUGGCAAUAUUUUCAAUUUUUCUAUAUAAUGUACACAAUAUUUAUGACUAUGACUAAAAAUAAUUUAUUUUUAUUUGACAAUCAAUGCAGGUUUUUUCAUUUGCAAAGAUGUUGAUGAUUGUCCAAAACAAUUGUGUUUCGAAUCUCAAACAUCGCUAUGCAUGUAUUUUAGAUGUGAAUGUAUUUAAGAGUAACAAUUAUGUUGAGAAAUAAUUUUAUCUUAAACCGGUGAGAGAUUUAAUUGAACUCUCACCUUAGACGUCACAUAUGUUUUUAUGAUAUUUCAAUUUCUUUGAAAAUCUCAAAAGCAUAUUAUUAUUAUUAUUAUUAUUAUUAUUAUUAUUAUUAAUAAAAGUGUUGUUGCUUUG
rnacentral:lncRNA from 1 species